UGGGGAAUCUUGCGCAAUGGCCUGACGGCUGACGCAGCGACGCCGCGUGCGGGAGGACGCCCCUCGGGGUGUAAACCGCUGUUGCCCGGGACGAACAGCCCGUUUCGACGGGCCUGACGGUACCGGGUGAGGAAGCACCGGCUAACUCCGUGCCAGCAGCCGCGGUAAUACGGAGGGUGCGAGCGUUGUCCGGAAUCACUGGGCGUAAAGGGCGCGUAGGCGGUCGCUUAAGCGCGCGGUGAAAGCCCGGGGCUCAACCCCGGAUCGGCCGUGCGGACUGAGCGACUGGAGCGCUGUAGAGGCGGGCGGAAUUCCGGGUGUAGCGGUGGAAUGCGUAGAGAUCCCGAAGAACACCGGUGGCGAAGGCGGCCCGCUGGGCAGUGACUGACGCUGAGGCGCGACAGCGUGGGGAGCAAACAG
rnacentral:rRNA from 1 species